UGCCUGGGUUUGUAGUUUUAUGAGAGAAAUGCAGGCUUUGUGAAAAGCUGUGAGUGCUGAAAAACGGGCAAAUUGUCAAAAGUGACUAUUGCCACAUAGAUGUUUAGAAACACUGAAAAAAUUCCAGUCUUAAGGUCAGAAAGCAAAAUGUUUCUUCCCGAAGUAUGAAUAUCACAGUAAAUGCUCUGAAGCAAACAGUCUCUUUCAGCCUCUUGUGCUGACCAAGGGAUGUGAAAACCAUCAGCAGACUUUGUCGGGGCUCCUCAAGACGCAAGCAGAUGAAGGGGCAACAUGGACGCAUCCCGAGCUCACUGGCGUUGUGAAGGCAAGGUGUGUGUUGAGGCAACAGUAGAAGGGGUAGAAAGAGUGCUGGGCUCUGAUUCAUGACAGCAAUCCAUGUGGGAAUGCUGCUGGUCUAAAUGAGCCUCUGUAUUCCCUGGAUUUGUCUCAUCCAUCCCAGUAACCGCUACAUGCAUUCUUUGAUUCACUGUAUGUUCCAAAGGCUUUCUUCUCUUAUUCACAUCAUCUUUAUAUGUUUGGACUUGAGCUUAGUCAAGCUGGGUUUUCAUCUCUCUGUAUGUUCUCAAUGUGUCAGAGGGCAGUCGUAAUUCCCAGAUUGAAAGAAAGGAUAAAGUAGAAUUAAUAACACUGCAGUCCAUAUACUGCAUUAUGAUCGUUCCCACAGCCUCUAUACAGAUGUUGGAUAGAAAAGGUGAUCAGCACUGAGUGCUGUUGCAUGUUGCAUCUGGGAACCCUUAACAAGAGGAAAAGCCAUCUGCUACUGUCUGGGAACACUCAGUGAGGAAUCAGUGGAACCACGCUAAGGCAUUUCUCACUCUGAGCCAGGUCACACAGCUGUGUCCAGGAUUUCACAUGCUCCACAAUGUCAGAGGCCACCAGAGCUUUGAGUCAUCUGUAAGUCACCAGGCAUCUGGCCGUGGUCACUGGUGGAAAUACUUUUAUCGUUACGCUGAGCAGAGGUGAGGUGCAGUGGUUGUAGAAGUGAUCUCAGUGAGGCAGUUGCUAGCCAAGUGAGUACGGUCUAGAAGAGAUUUCUUUAGCAGACAUCAGAGUAAAGUGUGUUUUGUUGGUGUGUGUCCCCCGCAAGAGCUGUUGGCAGCUUCCUCUCAGAGAAAAGCAGUGAUUCAUACUUCCAGGAGCAGACUUACGCAGUCCCUGCAGUGUUUUUCCUGGCCAAGUUGGAAUAGUCUAGAUUCUAGAUUAGUAAUUCAUAUUACAGUAGUUGCUCGGAAGUCUCUAUGUGCAAGGUACUUGAGAGGUACAAAGAAAGAGGCAAUCCCUGUGCUAAUUUGGAGAUGUGAGCUGAACAAGAGAGAAAUCAAGCAACUUUCUCAGUGCCAGUAGGAGAUUCUGGAAGAUAUGUGAGCUGUAUGUAUAUUUCCCAAGUGCUGCAGUAGUGUAAUUACUAUACAGAUUUGUUUGUAGUCAUUGACAGAUUGUAAAAACCGUGUAUAGUAUGACUACUGUCAAGAAUUUACUGAGUGAUUUUCUGUUCAAAUUAGUAUAUUAAGUUACACACUAAAUUGACACAUAAAUAAUCUUUUUCAAAGUCAGACUUACUUUAUAAAGUCCUCUAAAAUCUCUGUUUUCAAGCAGUAAAUUUGCCUUUUUGAUCCUCUAACGCUUUGUGAUCUUGUAAUUUAAAAAUAUUUCCUAUCACCAAAAUAUAUGUUAUAUUUAGACACUUCAAAUAGUUUACAUACCAAAUAAUUGUAAAGCAUUGAAAACAGGCACUAUAACUGUGUGUGAAUUGUCUGUUAAAGGUUUUAAUUCUGUUAUUUAUUUUUCUGCACAUACAGCUUUGGCUACCCAGUAGAGUUAGUUUGAGUAUUAUGAUUAGAUAAACAUGUAUUGGGCGUGCUAAAAACUUGAAGCCUUUGGCUUGAAGUACAGGUCUCUGCUCCACCAAGUACAUAAUGCUUGCAGGAGUAUGACGCUCCAGCCUAAUUGAACUCAAAGAUCAUCAGAGAAAGGGAUGUGGAUCUUCUGUGUCCAGCCAGUUAUAAAAUCUUCAGUUUCACCUUCCCUCUCUGACUAAAGAAGCUAUCAUUUAUAAAGGCACAGAAAUGCAUAUAUCAUUCUAAAACUUGUACUCUAAUGGAAGACGUGAUAAGCAAAUUUAUUUCAUAAUCAUUCUAGCCUGUCAAAUGACAUUCACGAAAGAAUAAAUUAUAAAAUAAAUCUUAUUUAAUUGUUGCUGAUUGUGUAAGAUGGGCAAAUAUGUACACUUUCCGACUAGGAUUUUUUGCUUUUUGUUUAAUUUUCUCACUCUUUAUUUUACCUCCAAAUCUGUAUUUGACACUCUGAAGAAAACAGAAGCUUAAACAUGUUCAGUCCACCAGAAGGUGAGUGCUUUGGCUCAGUGCAGAGCUGCCUUGUCUGAGCAUAUUAAAAGCCAUUUUAGUUUGUAUAGGAGUAAUUGUACGUUUGUAGGGUUUUGUAGCUUCAGAAUAUGGUCCAGUGGAGUAUUGAUGGGCUUUAGCUGACAAGCGACUGAAACACACACCUCACCAGCUUUUCAGAACAGCCAUCAAGAAGCUUCCAAUAUGCAAUUUCUCGGCAACAGCCUUGGAAGCCAUUUUAGUCUGCAUCUAAUGUGGGAAGGAUGGGCUCCAAGGUGAACUACAUCAGCAUGGAUUUAAAGACAGGAGUGCCACCACCCCAACAGAUUUCACCAUGGAAAAUCUGGGACUUGAGGAUUUCCAGCUAGGCUUUGGAUGGAGUCCCAGGAGGAGGGUUAGAAAUGCAAUCUCCCAAUGCUAACAACUCUGAUGUAGAGAGGAACCAAACCAGGUUCUAAACAAGCGUUUGAACAUUUGCAAGUAUGUAUGUCUUUGGGGUCUUCUGGAGUAAAAGUAGUGUACCUUUACUUUAGGAAAUUGGGCAACAUACAUAAGUUAAAAGUAGUGACUUCAGAAUAUUGUAAAUAGCUAUUACCUUCAGACAAUCCAAUUCUAACCAUAUUACUUGGUAUUUAUAUUAUGGUGAUUAAAAGAAGACACCCCUUAUCUGGCCUUUCUCUCUAUUUUUAACACGAAAGACUGUUGAAAAUAAAAUGUUUCAUUACGUAUAUCAAUACUUCCCAGUGGUUUUGAAACAAUUAAACUAAUGUUUCCCUUUAAA